AGCGAACGCUAGCGGCGGGCUUAACACAUGCAAGUCGAGCGCCUUACUUCGGUAAGGAGCGGCGGACGGGUGAGUAACACGUAGGUUACCUGCCCCCGGGUGAGGGACAACCGAGGGAAACCUCGGCUAAUACCACAUAUGGUCUACGGAUCAAAGGCUUCGGCCGCCUGGGGAUGGGCCUGCGUCCCAUUAUUUAAUCCUUGUUGGUGGGGUAACGGCCUACCAAGGGUACGAUGGGUAGCUGGUCUGAGAGGAUGAUCAGCCACACUGGAACUGAGACACGGUCCAGACUCCUACGGGAGGCAGCAGUGGGGAAUAUUGCGCAAUGGGCGAAAGCCUGACGCAGCCACGCCGCGUGAGUGAUGAAGGCCCCAGGGUCGUAAAGCUCUGGUCGGGGGGGAAGAAGUUCUGACGGUACCCCCCAAGAAGCACCGGCUAACUCCGUG
rnacentral:rRNA from 1 species